rnacentral:rRNA from 1 species
UUUUCUGCCACCGAAUACAUUAGCAUGGGAUAAUGGAAUAGGACCCUGUCCUCCUAUUUUCAGUUGGUUUUGGCAGCGCGAGGACUAGGGUAAUGAUUAAUAGGGAUAGUUGGGGGCAUUAAUAUUUAAUUGUCAGAGGUGAAAUUCUUGGAUUUAUGAAAGAUUAACUUCUGCGAAAGCAUCUGCCAAGGAUGUUUUCAUUAAUCAAGAACGAAAGUUAGGGGAUCGAAGACGAUCAGAUACCGUCGUAGUCUUAACCAUAAACGAUGCCGACCAGCGAUUAGGAGACGUUGAAUACAAAACACCACCAUCGGCGCGGUCGUCCUUGGCGUCUGUCCCUUUCAACGGGGGCGGGGGCGAGGGCGGCUUAUGCCGGUGGCGCCGGUGACUGACUCCC